ACCUUAGAAGCAAAGAUGGUUAAUGUGCUUGCCUGUUAACCAAAAGGUUAGAGGUUUGAGUCCUUUCAGAGGUG
rnacentral:tRNA from 1 species